rnacentral:rRNA from 1 species
ACGAACGCUGGCGGCAUGCCUAACACAUGCAAGUCGAACGAGACCUUCGGGUCUAGUGGCGCACGGGUGCGUAACGCGUGGGAACCUGCCCUUAGGUUCGGAAUAACUCCCCGAAAGGGGUGCUAAUACCGGAUAAUGUCUUCGGACCAAAGAUUUAUCGCCUUUGGAUGGGCCCGCGUUGGAUUAGCUAGUUGGUAGGGUAAAAGCCUACCAAGGCGACGAUCCAUAGCUGGUCUGAGAGGAUGAUCAGCCACACUGGGACUGAGACACGGCCCAGACUCCUACGGGAAGCAGCAGUGGGGAAUAUUGGACAAUGGGCGAAAGCCUGAUCCGGCAAUGCCGCGUGAGUGAUGAAGGCCUUAGGGUUGUAAAGCUCUUUUACCCGGGAUGAUAAUGACAGUACCGGGAGAAUAAGCUCCGGCUAACUCCGUG